rnacentral:rRNA from 1 species
UACGGAGGAUGCAAGCGUUAUCCGGAAUUAUUGGGCGUAAAGCGUCCGCAGGUGGCACUUCAAGUCUGUCGUCAAAGACCGGGGCUUAACCCUGGAAAGGCGAUGGAAACUGAAAGGCUAGAGAGAGGUAGGGGUAGAGGGAAUUCCCAGUGUAGCGGUGAAAUUCGUAGAUAUUAGGAAGAACACCAGUGGCGAAGGCGGCUCACUGGAUCGGUACUGACGCUGAGGUGCGAAAGCGUGGGGAGCAAACAGG